UGCAGCAAUGAAACCCAUGAGAAGGAAGUGCCGUCGGAUGUGAAACUGACGAUGUCUCAUUCACUUUUCUGAAU